rnacentral:rRNA from 1 species
GCGUUCGCGUUGUCCGCGCCUUCUGUUUUUCGAACCGGUGACGAACGCGUGCACUUUUCCCCUAGUAGGACGUCGCGAUCCGUUGGGUGUCGGUCUACGGCUCGCGGUGGAGUCCGUGUGCGAUCGUUUCGGCGAUUCGUGCUCGAACCCGCGAUGUUCCGGCCGACUCGCUCGACGAUAUACAGAUGGCGCGAGGCCGCUACGUUAAUUAGCGUCCGACCCACGGCAAGCGCGUUCGAUGCUAAGACGGCGAUCGGACCUAGUGCCGAUUCCGUUUCCGGACGACUGUUGGCCGUGUGGAUCUCUCGGACAGACCUCGUUCGAAACGCUGAUCUGCGACGCUAUAGCUUUGGGUACUUUCAGGACCCGUCUUGAAACACGG